UACGUAGGGAGCAAGCGUUGUCCGGAAUCAUUGGGCGUAAAGCGCGCGUAGGUGGCCUCAUAAGUCCGCUGUGAAAGUCAAAGGCUCAACCUUUGAAAGCCGGUGGAUACUGUGGGGCUAGAGUACGGAAGAGGCGAGUGGAAUUCCGUGGUGUAGCGGUGGAAUGCGCAGAUAUCAGGAGGAACACCAAUAGCGAAGGCAGCUCGCUGGGACGUUACUGACACUGAGGCGCGAAAGCGUGGGGAGCGAACAGG
rnacentral:rRNA from 1 species